GCCUAGUUAGCUUGGUUGGUAGCGCGUCUGCCUUGUAAGCGCUAGGCUGCGGGUUCGAUUCCCGCCCAGGCC
rfam:Asian citrus Psyllid, Diaphorina citri - Florida Strain, whole genome shotgun sequence.